rnacentral:rRNA from 1 species
GACGUAGGGCGCAAGCGUUGUCCGGAUUUAUUGGGCGUAAAGAGCUCGUAGGCGGCUUGUUGCGUCGACUGUGAAAACCCGCGGCUUAACUGCGGGCUUGCAGUUGAUACGGGCAGGCUAGAGUUCGGUAGGGGAGACUGGAAUUCCUGGUGUAGCGGUGAAAUGCGCAGAUAUCAGGAGGAACACCGGUGGCGAAGGCGGGUCUCUGGGCCGAUACUGACGCUGAGGAGCGAAAGCGUGGGGAGCGAACAGGAUUAGAAACCCGGGUAGUCC